rnacentral:rRNA from 1 species
GAUGAACGCUGGCGGCGUGCCUAACACAUGCAAGUCGAGCGAACUGAUUAGAAGCUUGCUUCUAUGACGUUAGCGGCGGACGGGUGAGUAACACGUGGGCAACCUGCCUGUAAGACUGGGAUAACUUCGGGAAACCGAAGCUAAUACCGGAUAGGAUCUUCUCCUUCAUGGGAGAUGACUGAAAGAUGGUUUCGGCUAUCACUUACAGAUGGGCCCGCGGUGCAUUAGCUAGUUGGUGAGGUAACGGCUCACCAAGGCAACGAUGCAUAGCCGACCUGGGAGGGUGAUCGGCCACACUGGGACUGAGACACGGCCCAGACUCCUACGGGAGGCAGCAGUAGGGAAUCUUCCGCAAUGGACGAAAGUCUGACGGAGCAACGCCGCGUGAGUGAUGAAGGCUUUCGGGUCGUAAAACUCUGUUGUUAGGGAAGAACAAGUACGAGAGUAACUGCUCGUACCUUGACGGUACCUAACCAGAAAGCCACGGCUAACUACGUGCCAGCAGCCGCGGUAAUAC